UACGGAGGAUCCAAGCGUUAUCCGGAAUCAUUGGGUUUAAAGGGUCCGUAGGCGGGUUAGUAAGUCAGUGGUGAAAGCCCAUCGCUCAACGGUGGAACGGCCAUUGAUACUGCUGAACUUGAAUUACUGGGAAGUAACUAGAAUAUGUAGUGUAGCGGUGAAAUGCUUAGAUAUUACAUGGAAUACCAAUUGCGAAGGCAGGUUACUACCAGUUUAUUGACGCUGAUGGACGAAAGCGUGGGGAGCGAACAGG
rnacentral:rRNA from 1 species